AAAUCAAGCGUUUAAGGGCGUGUAGUGGAUGCCUUGGCACUGAAAGCCGAUGAAGGACGUGAUAUACUGCGAUAAGUUUCGGGGAGCUGUAUGUAAGUUUUGAUCCGAAAAUUUCCGAAUGGGGAAACCCACCACUUUAUGUGGUACUUUAAACUGAAUACAUAGGUUUAAAGAGACAACCUGGAGAACUGAAACAUCUAAGUAACCAGAGGAAAAGAAAUCAAUUGAGAUUCCGUUAGUAGUGGCGAGCGAACGCGGACUAGGCCAGUAGUUUUGUUAAAAAAAUUUGAAUAGUUUGGAAAUGCUAACCAUAGAGGGUGAUAGUCCCGUAUGAGUAAUGUUUAACAAAAUUCUUGAGUAAAGCGGGACACGUGAAAUCCUGCUCGAAUAUAGGGGGACCACCCUCUAAGCCUAAAUACUCUUCAGUGACCGAUAGUGAACUAGUACCGUGAGGGAAAGGUGAAAAGAACCCCUAUUAGGGGAGUGAAAUAGAACCUGAAACUGCAUGCCUACAAUCAGUCGAAGCUCUUUUUAGAGUGACGGCGUACCUUUUGUAUAAUGGGUCAGUGACUUAAUUUAUAAAGCAAGCUUAAGCCAUCUAGGUGUAGGCGCAGCGAAAGCAAGUCUUAAUAGGGCGAUUAGUUUUAUGAAUUAGACCCGAAAACGAAUGAGCUUACCAUGAGCAGGUUGAAAGUUGGGUAACACCAACCGGAGGACCGAACCAGUUGACGUUGAAAAGUCUUUGGAUGACUUGUGGUAAGGGGUGAAAGGCCAACCAAAUUCGUAGAUAGCUGGUUUUCCGCGAAAACUAUUUAGGUAGUGCGUUGAAUAAAUAGAUGUUUAGAGGUAGAGCACUAAAUGGGCUAGGGGGAAGAGAUUCUUACCAAACCUAAUAAAACUCCGAAUGCUAGACAUUGUUCUUCAACAGACAGACUGUGGGUGCUAAGGUCCAUGGUCGAGAGGGAAAGAGCCCAGACCACCAGAUAAGGUCCCAAAAUUAUGAUUAAGUGUGAAAGGAUGUGGAAAUUCCUUAACAGCCGGGAGGUUGGCUUAGAAGCAGCCAUCCUUUAAAGAUAGCGUAACAGCUCACCGGUCUAAUAGAGUUUCUGCGCCGAAGAUGUAACGGGGCUAAAAUCAUAUACCGAAUCUGUGGGUUUAUAAAACUUUCGAGUUUUAUAAGCGGUAGCGGAACGUUCUGUAAGCCUGUGAAGGGAUACCCGUGAGGGAUCCUGGAGGUAUCAGAAGUGCGAAUGCUGACAUAAGUAACGAUAAAAGAAGUGAAAAACUUCUUCGCCGAAAAUCCAAGGGUUUCUGCGCAAGGUUAAUCCGCGCAGAGUUAGUCGGCACCUAAGGCGAGGGCGAAAGCCGUAGUCGAUGGAAAUAAGGUUAAUAUUCCUUAACCAGAUGGUAGUGACGGAUCUUGUAAGUUGUGUGCUCUUAAUGGAUUGAGUAUGCCGC
rnacentral:rRNA from 1 species